rnacentral:piRNA from 1 species
AUCUGUUUGAUUGUUCAUGGUAGGAUCA